AGACCCGAAACCCGGUGAUCUAGCCAUGGGCAGGUUGAAGGUUGGGUAACACUAACUGGAGGACCGAACCGACUAAUGUUGAAAAAUUAGCGGAUGACCUGUGGCUGGGGGUGAAAGGCCAAUCAAACCGGGAGAUAGCUGGUUCUCCCCGAAAGCUAUUUAGGUAGCGCCUCGUGAAUUCAUCUCCGGGGGUAGAGCACUGUUUCGGCUAGGGGGCCAUCCCGGCUUACCAACCCGAUGCAAACUGCGAAUACCGGAGAAUGUUAUCACGGGAGACACACGGCGGGUGCUAACGUCCGUCGUGAAGAGGGAAACAACCCAGACCGCCAGCUAAGGUCCCAAAGUCAUGGUUAAGUGGGAAACGAUGUGGGAAGGCCCAGACAGCCAGGAUGUUGGCUUAGAAGCAGCCAUCAUUUAAAGAAAGCGUAAUAGCUCACUGGUCGAGUCGGCCUGCGCGGAAGAUGUAACGGGGCUAAACCAUGCACCGAAGCUGCGGCAGCGAACGUAUCACCCAAGACAACUUUACGGAGUUGACGAUUGACGGAGCGAAGCGACGUCAAAGCGUUCAUUAAAGUCGAGUUGGCUUAGGGAUACGUUCGUUGGGUAGGGGAGCGUUCUGUAAGCCUGUGAAGGUGUGUCGUGAGGCAUGCUGGAGGUAUCAGAAGU
rnacentral:rRNA from 2 species